UUGUUUUUAUUACCUCUCUCCAUUCUUGCUGCUGUUUACCUCAUCCAAGCCAUACAGAAGUCUCCUUCUACGCUACAUCAAUCAUCGGCAAACUCCCACCGAGUCAACUUCUUUAGGAGCUGCUCCAACAAGCUUCUGUUUGCGUCGGUGAAUCUCUGAUCAGAAGCGGAUUAGCAUCCCUUCAUAUCUACAUCGCAGACUGUAGCUGCAUUUGAAUCUUUUUGGCCUCUCUUCAAGCAUAAUACAGAAAUUUCGGUAUUGCAAUUUGCAAAAGGAAGAACUACUGUUUGUUGGAUGGACGAAAUAAAGGGAACUUUGAGAAAGAACAGGCUUGAAGAUGUGAGUUGGCUUUGUUCCCUUUCAGAAGCUGAACUUGAUUUUCUUAUUAGCUUAAAGAUACUUGUUCUUCAACGUGCAAAAAUAAUCGGCCAUGAUGAACUAGCCAAGAAAUUUGAUUUGAGGAUGCUCCGAGCCCUUGGAUUCAUUCUCAUGGAACAUGUUAGAGGAAAAAUCAAGAAUUUGUCAGUUAGUCCUUGCUUCGCCGAUUCUGAUUCUUUUAUGAAUGAUUGCAAUUUACUAAAAUCUAAGAUUGAGGAUGUUCUGAGUAUUGAAGAAAUCAAAGACUUGAUUAGCACUUACUCAAGAAAAAGACCACCAAAAAGGUAACUUCAAGCUGGGCGACUUGAUCAUUUUUUCACCAUGUGUUGUGAUUUGAUUUUGGCAAUAGCUGCUGAUGAGUCGAAGAAGGCGAGAGGUUGGAAGAGUUUACUGAUGAACAAACUGGGUUUCAGAAUCCAUCUGAGUUGUUGAAAAACGAGGAAGAAGUACGUGACCAUUUUUGAUGAAGAAAGCGGGAGGUUAGUGGUAGAUUACAAGGUUUUGCAUGGUAGGGACCUGGCAGACGCAGCUGUUGUAGGUAAAAAGAGCAAAAGCAUAGAUGGAAAUUAUUACGGGUUAGAAUCUUUUUCUAGAAAAAUAUGAGGAAAAACCAUAGAGAUUUUUUUUUUUUUUUCUUGGAUAGAAUUUAGGCCAGGCCAACAAGCUUUGAACAUUUAUAGAAAACAACAUUUUAGGGAAACUAUUAGCGAAAAAGAGGAUGCCACAUGUACUAGGUAAAAUUCAAUUGGUCACUUGUGAAUCUAUUAAUUAAAAAUAAGAUGUGCUAGACAACACAAUCUAUUCUAUACGUAUAACGAUGGAUUGUUUUAUCA